AACGCACGAGACCUGCGGACCUGCGGAGGGAUCAUUACAGAGUUGCAAAACUCCCUAAACCAUUGUGAACGUUACCUAAACCGUUGCUUCGGCGGGCGGCGCGCCCUCGCGCGCGCCCCUGGGCCCCACCGCGGGCGCCCGCCGGAGGUCACCAAACUCUUGAUAUUAAUUGGCCUCUCUGAGUCUUCUGUACUGAAUAAGUCAAAACUUUCAGCAAUGGAUCUCUAGAUCGGAAGAGCA
rnacentral:misc_RNA from 1 species